rnacentral:hammerhead_ribozyme from 1 species
AUCCAGUUGACGAGUCCGAAAUAAGAUGAAACGUGCGUCGUGGAU